rnacentral:ncRNA from 7 species
CAUUAGAUGACUGAAAGCAAGUACUGGUC